CAUCUAGGCGGUAUAUCAAGUCAGGGGUGAAAACUUACGGCUCAACCGUGAGCUUGCCUUUGAAACUGAGAUACUGGAGUACCGGAGAGGUGGGCGGAACUACACGAGUAGAGGUGAAAUUCGUAGAUAUGUGUAGGAAUGCCGAUGAUGAAGACAGCUCACUGGACGGCAACUGACGCUGAAGUGCGAAAGCUAGGGGAGCGAAC
rnacentral:rRNA from 1 species